rnacentral:rRNA from 1 species
GACGUAGGGGGCCAGCGUUGCUCGGAAUUACUGGGCGUAAAGGGUUCGUAGGCGGUGCGGCAAGUCGGGAGUGAAAUCUCUGGGCUUAACUCAGAGGCUGCUUCCGAAACUGCCGUGCUAGAGUGCGGGAGAGGCGAGUGGAAUUGCAGGUGUAGCGGUGAAAUGCGUAGAUAUCUGCAGGAACACCCGUGGCGAAGGCGGCUCGCUGGACCGCAACUGACGCUGAGGAACGAAAGCUAGGGGAGCAAACAGG